rnacentral:rRNA from 1 species
UAUCGGGGCUAAACGAUUCACCGAAGCUGUGGAUUGACAUCUACGAUGUCAGUGGUAGGAGAGCGUUCUAAGUGCGUUGAAGUCAGAUCGGAAGGACUGGUGGAGCGCUUAGAAGUGAGAAUGCCGGUAUGAGUAGCGAAAGACGGGUGAGAAUCCCGUCCACCGUAUGACUAAGGUUUCCUGAGGAAGGCUCGUCCGCUCAGGGUUAGUCGGGACCUAAGCCGAGGCCGAUAGGCGUAGGCGAUGGACAACAGGUUGAUAUUCCUGUACCACCUCCUCACCGUUUGAGAAAUGGUGGGACGCAGUAGGAUAGGGUAAGCGCGCUGUUGGAUAUGCGCGUCCAAGCAGUAAGGCGUGUGUGUAGGCAAAUCCGCACACUGUAACGUUGAGCUGUGAUGGCGAGUCCGUAUGGACGAAGUUCCUGAUUUCACACUGCCAAGAAAAGCCUCUAUCGAGGUGAGAGGUGCCCGUACCGCAAACCGACACAGGUAGUCGAGGAGAGAAUCCUAAGGUGUGCGAGAGAACUCUCGUUAAGGAACUCGGCAAAAUGACCCCGUAACUUCGGGAG